rnacentral:lncRNA from 1 species
GGCUCCAUCAUAUGUGUACAAGUCACCAUCUCCUCCAUCUCCAUCGCCACCACCUCCUUAUGUAUACAAGUCACCGCCUCCUCCAUCUCCAUCGCCACCACCUCCUUAUGUAUACAAGUCACCGCCUCCUCCAUCUCCAUCACCCCCACCACCAUACUAUUACAAGAGUCCUCCACCACCCUCUCCCUCACCUCCACCUCCUUACUACUACAAAUCUCCUCCACCACCCUCUCCCUCACCUCCACCUCCUUACUACUACAAAUCUCCUCCACCACCAUCACCUUCACCUCCUCCACCAUACUAUUACAAGUCUCCACCACCACCACCUUCCUCACCANACUACUACAAAUCUCCUCCACCACCCUCUCCCUCACCUCCACCUCCUUACUACUACAAAUCUCCUCCACCACCAUCACCUUCACCUCCUCCACCAUACUAUUACAAGUCUCCACCACCACCACCUUCCUCACCACCAC